CGACAGACAACGCGCUUCGGUUCCGCCUUGCGAGGGGCGGAUGAAAAGGGAACCCGGUGCGCGCCUCCUUGGCGCAACUCCGGGGCUGCCCCCGCAACUGUAGGCGGAGAGCGACGGCCGACAUGCCACUGGGGAGCUCCCCGGGAAGGCGGCCCGGGCUGUGACCCGCAAGUCAGGAGACCUGCCGAGGAGAUCACCCUAUU
rnacentral:ncRNA from 2 species